AGCGAACGCUGGCGGCAGGCCUAACACAUGCAAGUCGAACGAACCUUUCGGGGUUAGUGGCGGACGGGUGAGUAACACGUGGGAACGUGCCUUUAGGUUCGGAAUAACUCAGGGAAACUUGUGCUAAUACCGAAUGUGCCCUUCGGGGGAAAGAUUAAUCGCCUUUAGAGCGGCCCGCGUCUGAUUAGCUAGUUGGUUGAGGUAAUGGCUCACCAAGGCGACGAUCAGUAGCUGGUCUGAGAGGAUGAUCAGCCACAUUGGGACUGAGACACGGCCCAAACUCCUACGCGAGGCAGCAGUGGGUAAUCUUGCGCAAUGGGCGAAAGCCUGACGCAGCCAUGCCGCGUGAAUGAUGAAGGUCUUAGGAUUGUAAAAUUCUUUCACCGGGGACGAUAAUGACGGUACCCGGAGAAGAAGCCCCGGCUAACUUCGUG
rnacentral:rRNA from 1 species